GGAUGCGAUCAUACCAGCACUAAAGCACCGGAUCCCAUUAGAACUCCGAAGUUAAGUGUGCUUGGGCGAGAGUAUUACUAGGAUAGGUGACCACCUGGGAAGUCCUCGUGUUGCAUUCCC
rnacentral:rRNA from 1 species